rnacentral:miRNA from 1 species
CAGGAUGCCCAAUUAAAUUUGAAUUUCAGGUAAAUAACAAUAUUUUUAGUAUAAAUAUGCCCCAUGCAAUAUUUGGGACAUACUCAUACUAAAUAUCUUUGUUGUUUACCUGAAAUUCAAAUCUAAUCAGGGCCCUGU